rnacentral:rRNA from 1 species
AGUGAAUAAUUAAACGGCCGCGGUACCCUAACCGUGCAAAGGUAGCAUAAUCAUUUGUCUAUUAAUUGUAGACCUGUAUGAAAGGCAAAAUGAGGGUUUAACUGUCUCUUAUAGUAAGUCAAUUAAACUGAUCUCCUAGUAAAAAAGCUAGGAUACCCCCAUAAGACCAGAAGACCCUGUGAAGCUUAAACUAAACUAUUAAACCCCUUAAUAACUACUUUCGGUUGGGGCGACCUUGGAAAAAAAAAGAACUUCCAAACACAGUGCCUAUAAACCACACCACCGGCCCACAAGCCCAUAAAUUUAGACCCAGCAUAGCUGAUAAUUGAACCAAGUUACUCCAGGGAUAACAGCGCCAUCUUCUUCAAGAGUCCAUAUCAAAAAGAAGGUUUACGACCUCGAUGUUGGAUCAGGACAUCCUAA